rnacentral:rRNA from 1 species
GACGAACGCUGGCGGCGUGCUUAACACAUGCAAGUCGAACGGACAGGCCCUGCUUUUGUGGGGUGCUCGAGUGGCGAACGGGUGAGUAACACGUGAGUAACCUGUCCUUGAAUUUGGGAUAACUUCAGGAAACUGGGGCUAAUACCGGAUAGGAGCUCCUGCUGCAUGGUGGGGGUUGGAAAGUUUCGGCGGUUGGGGAUGGACUAGCGGCUUAUCAGCUUGUUGGUGAGGUAGUGGCUUACCAAGGCUUUGACGGGUAGCCGGCCUGAGAGGGUGACCGGCCACAUUGGGACUGAGAUACGGCCCAGACUCCUACGGGAGGCAGCAGGGGGGAAUAUUGCACAAUGGGCGGAAGCCUGAUGCAGCAACGCCGCGUGCGGGAUGACGGCCUUCGGGUUGUAAACCGCUUUCGCCGGUGACGAAGCGGGAGUGACGGUAAUGGGUAAAGAAGCACCGGCUAACUACGUG